AUCUGAUUGGUUGCUAUGGGCAACUAGGCGACUUUUCCUCAGGACAGGUUUUGAUAAAUCUCCCCCAUAGGGCAUCCAGAAGGCAGACCAUACAGAUGAAUCUCAGCAGAGCGGCACUAUCUUGACUCAUCGGAACCCUGCAAUCAUGCUGUGGAUGGUCCAAUGUGUGCCCCCAAGCCCUGCAAAAUACUUUGGAUGCCAUGAUCAGUAUUUACCACGGAAUUUGAAGGGUUAAUGGCGGACAUCAAGAUCCGUGUAUGCAGAGGACUUCUUUGGAUUCUGUGGACUACAUCCUUGACCAGCGUUUUUUUUAUUUAAUAUUAAUUAAAUGGCUAACGAGGGCUUGUGGGAAAGGGUUUUUUGGAAUCAAAGUUUUUAAAAAGUGUUGUGGGUUUUUUUUGUUUAAAAUUACUUUACAGGCUUAGUAGUGGAAGUGGUCUUAUAGACGGAAUCCAUUACUAAGCCAGGGCUUAGCACUAGUCACAAAAACACCCAAUUAUUACCACAGUACCCACCGCCACAGGGGUGCCAGGAAGAGCCAGUACCAACAGGCCACGAGCCUCAAAUAUGGCGCUCCUGAGUCUAGGCGGUAAAAGGCUGGCGUUAUUUAGGCUGGGGAGGAACAGUAACAAUGGUCCUCGCCCACCCUUGUAACUUCAGACUGUUGCUUUUUAGUUGGUAUCUGGCUGAGAAUGAAAAUAUAACAAUGUAUGCAAAAAACAUGUGGGGGUUAUUCGUAUUUUCA